GUUCAUGUAAUAUUCUAUAUGAGAGCUGAGCUUUGUAUGCUUGUGUUGAAAUAUGGUAGACCUUAACAUAUUAUUAUUUAGCCUAACUGGAGAUAAUAGAAGCUUCUUCUACAUACUUUUGUACAGCCUCAAAAUCUGCAUUUUUUCAUUUAAAAGAAAAUUGUUGAACUUGAGCUUUCAGAGAUAACUCUGUACAUGUAAAAGAACACAUCUUUUAUGCCAGUCCCAGAGUGCACCAUGUGGAAAAGCAGGCCUGCAAUGCUUUAGUGCAUUUUAAAAAUAAAUGUCUAUAGCAUCCUUCACCUAGCACUUAAUUCACUAAAGAAUUGCAGAUUAGUCUUGACAAAAUAUAUACAAUUUCCUCACUUUACCUAAUAUCACUUUCCCAAACCCGACUUUCAUCCAAAUCUUCAAUAAACUUUUCGCCUUUCAUCCAGUACAUUAAAGGGCUGACUUCUCCACUGUAUCCAAAGAAAGCUCGGCAGGUUAGAUUAGCAGAAUGGCCUGUUGAAAAGAAUUAAUAAAGAAAACAUGUUAUUCCAAAACUGGCGAAAAUGAUUUAUUUUAUUAUCAGCAGCUAAGUAAUGUUUCCCCAUACAGAACCUGAAAGAGCAUAGCUUGAAAGCUGACCUUAGCAUUCGUAACUUUGAAGAAGCAAUUUUUACUCAAAUAUUGUCAAACUAUUGACAGACACAUUAUCUAGUGCGGAAUAUAGAUCUACUAGUUACAAAAGAAUAGAGGCUAAUCUUAGUCCUUGAACUAAGAUUAUCCACAGGCAGCUAACCACAGACAGAUUAAGUAUAUGGUCUUCUUUCAAAGCAUUGAUUUUCCAAAUAUGGGAUGGCCACAGAAUUCAUACACUAUGCCUCUACAAUACACAGAACCCAAGGAUCAUACAAUUAAUGUUUUCCCUUAGAAAGUGAUUUAUCAUACUACAGAUGAGAAUCCUGCAGGCUGCAUUAAAUUAAUGUGGCCCUCAGCCCACCUCUUUCUGUUCCCCCAUACCUCUGCGCAACCACCAACACUCUUGUUAGUAUCAUACAAUCCAACCACAGAGCAUGAUACAUAAAGUGUCAUUAUGGUUUUUGAAGUGCACAUGCUCUUUGGUUGGCUUCAGUUAUGUGGCCCCAAAACACUUUCCUCUUGGGCAGCAGCGGCGCUUCAUGCUCCGGCACCGGGGGUGGAGAGCAGGCAGGGGCGGGGCUCGCGUGCAUCCUGGGGGCAUGGCACGCCACCUGCGGGGGCGUGGCACCCAGCGCGGGUGGGGGAGCAGCCACGAUGGCAUCCCACUGGGAUUGCACUGCUGGGGGCGGUGCGCUCCCCCCCACUCCUUUUCCUCCACCAGUGCAUAGCUGUAAACUUUUCCCUUUUCUUGCGAGGAAUCCUAUUCAGAAUAAGGGAAUUUCCCUUAAAAAAAGUUGACAGCUAUGCACCAGUGCUCUGGGGGAAUGUGGCCCUUGGUGCUCAAAAUGUUGUUGCAUCCCAUCGUCAAAGUAUUACGGGCAGUCACUUAGACCUUAUUUUCCAUUUCUCAUUCUAUAUCACUGAAGCAAUAAUACUGUUUGAGGCAAGCACUACGAGCUCCCAAGGACUUGUAUUUCUAAAUCCAUAAGUGUUAAGUUUCAGCACCAUCACAAUAUACAACAGAAAAAGAUUACUGGUAUCAGAAAAGCACUAGAUCUAAAAUGUCCCAAAGGUAAACUAAAUGAUACAAAGUACACACACACAUAAAAUUCAGACCAGCAUAACCAUGACUAUCUAAAACAAUAACGUGCCGGUGUAUGGAAUGCUGAAAAACUUGUUAAAUAGGUUGCCCUGAAUGAUGACUGACAUCUUUUGGGAAAAGAAGCCAUUUCCACUCUGCAAAACACUCACCCAUCAUUAGAUGUUAUAUUACAAUGGCUUCACUUUAGAUAUUUUAGGUGAACAUGUAAAAAUAUAGUGUGAAUGUGACGAAUGGGAUAGACAUGCAUCAUAAUUGUGCAUUUGUUGCAGGAUCAUCAGUUGAUGUCAAAUCUUGACUUGCUGCUGUGCAAUGGCUGCAAUGACCAUGAGCGUUACUUUUAGCGGAUGGAGUGCAUCUUGGAAUCAAGUAUCCCUCAAAAGAAAGGAAGAAGGCCUCCUUCUGUUUUCCCAUGCCACCAGCCUCACAACUUUUCCUUUGAGUACUUUCCACCCAGCAUCGCUCACCUGUUGAUAUCUAAUCAGUGUACAGACUAAGCUAGCUGGACUGCAGGCCAAGUUAUCCCUUAAUCACCAACCUCAUGCUCAUGGGGGUACUGAGCCAUGAAAGCCUGCUGAGCUUUUCCAGCCAGAAUGAAGCAACCUGCUGAGAUGGAACUUCACACUCAGAGGGUUCCGUCAACCAUUUACAGGUGCAUAUUAAUGUGUGCAUGGUGAUCUUUUAAAAGGAUCUCCUGAAUCAACAAGGAAGGGGGAGGGAGCUAAUGUCAAAAAGACAAACCUCAGAAAAAGAACUCUCUUCUCAUUAAAUUAAUGGGGAUUUCCCCUCCUGGAUGAAAUAUUUAAGUGUAUUUUUAAAGAUGGAAUUCAAAGUUUCUGUUAAAUAUGAAAUAUUUACGCCUGGGAAAUAAAUUAAGAAAGAAGCACCAUCUCCCAGCAAUAUUGUACAGAUUACUGCUGAGCAAGGGCCAUUAAUAUGCCAGGUGUUCCACUAUAAAUUAAUACCGAGGCUGCGGCUGCUGUAUAAUCUAUACUUUCCAGGCUGGCUGAGCUUGACAAUAAACUAUCGAGAAGGUCAGUGGUGGGUCAUGCAGGCAGGAUCUUUGUGACUAGCUACUACUGCUGUUACUGAUGUCCUUGUUUGUUACUUUGAGCUAAUAGCACAAGGAAUAGGGGGUGUUGGUUCUUGCUUUGGGAAGUGCAGUUUCUUAUUUAACAAGGCUAUAUGUACUCCCAAAAGUGAAUCUGUUGCUUUCACUGGAAUUCACACACACGUGCAUCAUGCCACUUGUUGAUGAGAUACAAAAACAUUGCAGACAUCAGAAGGUUAUUAAUAAAAAAAAUUGGGAUGUAAUGCGCACCAAUCUUUCUUCAUAUUAUUUCCCAUAUGUGUGUAUUAGUAAGUGCAGAUUGAGCUUACUGCCAGUUAAGUGUGCAUUCCACUGAAAAAUGCAGCCUCAGCCAUUGUUUCACACACAUGUUUCUAGCUCUCUGCCCUGGGCUCAUCUAUCCUGGAUUAUAGGAAGCAACCAUCAAGGAUCAUCUAUAUUAUGGGGUGUGGGUGGGAAUGGGAUCAGUAUUCUUCAGAACCAAGACCCACAUUUAAUGCAAAAAUGCAUUUUGGAACCCCCCCCCCUUUAAUCAUAUAUUUGCAUGGUGGUAAUGCUGCUGUUAUGACCCACGAUCCAGCUGUGGGUCCAAACCCACCAUUUGAAGAUCAAUGGUCUGGAGAUAAACUUAUUCAGUUUAUUCCGCCCCCCAGAUCUAAGAACAACUCUAGCAAGAUUCACUUCUUCAUGCUUUAGCCAAUCUUUGAGGUUCCUUCAGAUUUUUAAAUGGCAGGUAAUUCAUAGAGAGCCUUAAGCAAUUAUUGCUUUUGCAAAUGCAUUUUUGAGCUAAGCUUUGAACAUCUGGUCUAAAAAUGAUGCAAUUUGGACAAUGACUAGGCACAUUAUGACUCCCGUGAACAACCACAUAUUUCGCUUCUUGCAGAUGCAAUAUCAUUGCACCUCAACGUUUACAGCCUUGUAAAGAGCUUAACUUUACAGUUGCAAUAAAGAUAUAUUUUGUGCCUCUUCCCUCCUACCCCGUAAUUUGCUGCAUCAUGGUCUGAAAUCUCAACUUUCUCCAUGAGCCCAUAAGUGGGUGCUUCCUAAUUCAUGCCCCAACAACAUCUUAAGACAAGUUCAGCAAUAUAUAAAUGACCAUGCGGUGCUGAAGCCAAUAUAAAAUAUUGAGAUGUAAGUGGGUAAGUGAUGGAUAAUAAAAACCGGUUUCCUUAUGUUGUAAAGUAUAAUCACACUUUACCUGAACAAACUAGCAGUACCAACAAACACAUUUCAAAGAUAAACAUACUCUUUCCUUGCUCAAGUUUAUUUAUUUAAACUGGGGGAAAAUCAGGCUAAUCUAGACAACAUGAUUAUGCAGACUCCAGUGAUAAAGAUGCACUUUCUGUUCCAGCUAAUUGGAUUCAGGCAGAGGCUUUAAUCAAAAAGCUUCUCUGUGAUUUAAAAUGAGAGUUUUUCUUGUUAUGUAGCCUGGUUUCAAAGCGAACAGAAUGUGAGGAGGACCUUAGAGCAUCAGAGGGUGUUUGCUUGAAGACAGCCAAUAGCAUCAGCAAUGACAACAUUUGGUCUCACUGCUGUAUUUCUCUAAUUAGUAAAAUGCUGGGCAUUUCCAGGUUGCUGUUGUGGCACCUUUUCUCCACUAGAGGACAGUGCCUAUCCUUCCAAUGACCAAAACAUUUAUUUUUAAUCCAUAGAGAUUGUCUGGUAUAUAAGCUCUUAAUUAAAAACACCAGCAUUCGAAUAAGCUGCUAGUUGUAAUUAGCAAACAGAGAAUGUUUUGUGCUUGAGUAAAAUGUCAUAUUGUAUGGACAGCUUAUAUUUCAUUUGCAGCAUUAGUCAUACAUGUUAGAAUAUCCUGCAAUGACAUCCAUGUUCGUCUCUUAUUUGUGAAGGCUCGUCACUGAAGGAUGUCUAUUUCUUUUGGAAGCAGCAGUAAUUAGCAGAAUAGCUAGGCAGUUUAAAUAAACCCUCAAAGAGACUUUUUGUGAUUUGGAAUCCUGGGCAGUUUUACCCAGGCCUAAUAAUAUGCAUAAACUUGGAAUACAG